rnacentral:lncRNA from 1 species
CUCCAACCUGUCAGAGCAAAUCACAGCAGAGUAUAAGGAGUUUUGAAGGGAGCAAAUCUACACGUCUAGUCCCUUGAAAGUGUCCACCUACAAGAGAGCGAAUCUUCCGUGUUCUGGGAAUUCCCUCCCUCAUUCUGUCAGUGUGGCUGUGCGUUCCUCUGCCAGCCGUCUUUUCUCUUCCUCAGCGCUCAGGCUCUUGACCGCUCCUACUGACAUCACUCAGUGUUCCCGCCACAUACACCUCGACUGCAACUCACAAACCACACACCACCCAUGAGUAUGGUUACUCUCAGGGUAGCCCUGAUGCAUAUUCUUGGUCCCUGCCGCGCUCCUGAAGGCUUCCGGUAGGAGAGGAAGAAGGCUUCCGGUGGGAGAGGGAGAAGGCUUCCGGUGGGGACAAAUCUCUACUUUGUCCUUUGUGGACUUCAUACGAGAUAGUAAAGGCUUCACCACUUUGGAAGAACCGAAAAAGUUCAGUGAUACUAGCCUGGGAAAUGAAUUUCAAAAGCAACUUGCCAUCAGGUAUUAAGUAUUUAAUCCCCAAAGUAUUGGCAGCACAUCCUCUUAGCAGAAGUUCGUAUUUAUCUGCACAAAGACCCAUGACUCUGGCCAAAUGCAGAGGUCUGUACCUGCUGUGAAAAGUACAAUCAACAGAUAACAACAUCCAUGCCUUGGGUGGCAGUCAGACUUGAUGAGUCAAGAAAACUACACAACUAUUUCCAUCUGAGUAAAGGUCUGUGCCAUUAAUCUUGUUUAUCAGUAUCAGAAGCUAACCUAACAUUUAUAAUGCCCUGUUUCCAAUAAUUUGGAUAAUCCUAUCUAUUAUGAAAGGAAUGUUUGUGCUCCACCCCUGAUUCAUACGUUGAAAUCUUAAUGCCCCCCCCCCCACCUUCCCUGCCAGGUGAUGGCAUUAGGACCUGGG